ACCAGGAAUCUAACAUUGUCUCUUGGCUCAGCUGGGUUUUCAUCUCAUCAAGCUCCCCAUUGGGUGGUGGAGAUCCAGGAACUAUAAGAUCCCUUUUUCCUACUCAGUAGUGACUUGGAAAGAAAUAUCCAACCACCCACAAGAUUUCACCAGAAGUCCCAGUACUGAAUUUCAUUGGCUCAACUAGGAGCACAUGUUAUAACCAAGCCAAUCUCCUGGCCUGGGGAGUGGACUGCUGUCAUUGGCCGGGUUGGAGAAUGUGGGAGGAGUCAGCACAAAUUUAUCUAAUCUUAUUCUGGGCCAUUAGGAGUUUCCAAACCUUGGUAGGCUGCAUUUCAGGUGUCUGAGAUGGGGAGGCCAUGGAAAAAGAGAAAGGUCAGAAGUUACAUUUGAGAAGUUCAGUUUAGGGCCAAGUGAGUUUGAGAUGCCUCCCAGGCAUCACGUGGUGCCACUGAGUCAUCAACUGGAUAUGAGACAUGCAUUUACCUGAUGUCUUGGUGGCUCAUUUUUUUAAAUUGAUUUUAUGGAAAUGUAAUUUCAUUUCCUUUUGAAGGGUACAAUUGAGAAGUCUAAUUAUUAUGAGGCAUAAUCUCUCUAUUUGGAGUUAAUUGACUACUUUUUUUUUCCCUUUCAUUGUCUUUCUGAGAAGUUCUGCCAGUUUAUCUCAAUUCAACUUUUCAAAAGAUAAAUUCUGCCAGAUAAUCUAUAGAUAGCAUUCUGUUUUCCUUCUGGGUUCUUUUUCCUAGGAAAUUCCUCCAGCCACCCUCCCAGGAUUUUCUUCCUCUCUCUCCUAUGUUGAGAUCCCUGUUUCCCUCCAUCUCAGGUCUUAUGUUUUCUUUGUUUACCCAUCAAUUUUUGCAGAGCCCAUCCUGCAGUAACUUUCUGAGAACAUAGGAGCAUGAGCAAUAACAUUUUUGAGCCCUUCCAUGCUUUGAAAUGCUUUACUUGCUCCUCACACUUGAUCAAUAUUUUGGCUGGAAAUAGUAGUCUGGAUUGAAAAUCCUUUUCUGUCAGAAUUUUGAUUCCAUAAACCCCUUGUCUCUUUGGGGUUUUUCUUUGUUUGCUUGUUUUUAUUUUUUGUUUCUGUUUUUGCGUGUUUAGGGUUGCACCUUAGGCAUUUGGAUGUUCCCAGGCUAGGGGGGUGGAAUAGGAGCUGCAGCUGCCGGCCUGUGACUACAGCCAUAGUGACACAGGAUCCAAGUCCCAUGUGCAACCUACACAAGAAGCUUGUGACAAUACUGAAUCCAUAACCCACUGAGAGAGGCCAGGGAUUGAACCUGCAUCCUCAUGGACACCACUCAGGUUUGUAACCCACUGAGCCACAACAGGAACUCCCUAAAUCUUUUUUUAAUGAGGAUAUAAGACAGUAACUCCGGAUUUGUUUUUUUAAACUUUACUGGGGUGUCAUUGACAUGCAACACAGUGCACAUCCGCCAGAUGUUCCAGUUCCUCUGCAUCUUCACCAGCACUUGAUAAAGUCAGUCUUUUUCAUUUUGGCUGUUCUGGCUGAUUUGCAGUGGUAUCUGAUUGUUAUGCUAGUUUGCAUUUUCAUGAAGGCUAGUUGUGAGAAUCUUUUCAUGUGCUUGUUUGAAAUUCAUUUGUCUUUUGUGAAGAGACUGUACAAUUUUUUUUUUUUUUUUUUUUUGGCUAAUGCAUGCAGUGACUUGGUGGAGGAUCACAGUUCGCAGAUCAGGGAUAGAGCCCAGGCCUCAGUGAUGAAACUCCCAAACUAGACUACUAGGAAACUUGUGAGAUCAUACAAAUCUUUUGCUUGUAUAUUUUUCUUUUCUUUUUAAGAAUGCACCUCUGGCAUAUGGAAGUUCCCAGGCUAGGGGUAGAAUUGGAGCUGCAGCUGAGGCCUUGCCACAGCCUCGGCAACACCAGAACCUUAACUUCACCACUGGGUAAGGCCAGGGAUCUAAACUGCAUCUUCUCUGACAUCAUGUCGGGUUCUUAACCUGUUGAGCCACAACAGGAACACAGUGCCUGUGUUUUUACUAUGUUGCUUUCUAUGCUUUAUUUUUAUUUUUCAAUUUUUUUUUGGUCUUUUCUAGGGUCACACCUGCAGCAUAAGUAGGUUCCCAAGCUAGGGGUCUAAUCGGAGCUGUAGCUGCCGGCCUACGCCAGAGCCACAGCAACGCAGGAUCCAAGCCUCAUUUGCGACCUAUACCUCAGCUCACAGCAACACUGGAUCCUUAACCUGCUAAGCGAGGCCAGGGAUCAAACCUGAAACCUCAUGGUACCUAGUCAGAUUCGUUAACCACUGAGCCAGACAGGAACUCCUCUAUGCUUUAUUAUUAUUAUUAUUUAUUUUUUUUUUUUGUGUGUGUGCCCACUGCAGAAGUUCCCAGACUAGGGAUCAAACCUUCACUACAGCAGUGACAACACUAGGUCAUUUGACUGCUAGGCAACCAGGGAACUCUUCUGAAUUUUAAAUGUAUGAUGACUUUGAAAAUUACCACUGGGAAUAACAAUAGCUCCCUUGUUGUAUGACCUCUAUUUCUUAUUUUUUAGAUCCCUGUAUGUAAGAUGGGUGUAAUGAUUGUAUCUAAUUUAUAGGGUUUUGCUGAGGGUUAAAUGAUUUAGACAGAUAAAGUCAGAAGGGCAAAGCUUGAGGAAUUGAUCUAGCACCUUGGAGAGCCAGCUGUGGAGACUCAGAAAGGGCUGGGAAGGGGAGUCCCUGUCAUGGCCCAGUGGAAAUGAAUCUGACUAGCAUCCAUGAGGACACAGGUUCAAUCCCUGGCCUCACUCAGUGGGUUAAGGAUCCCGUGUUGCUGUGAGUUGUGGUAUAGGUCUAAGAGGCACCUUGGAUCUGGUGUUGCUGUGGCUGUGGUGUAGGCCAGCGGCAAUAGCUCCAGUUCGACCCCUAGCCUGGGAACCUCCAUAUGCUGAGGGUACAGCUCUAAAAAUACAAAAAAAAA
rnacentral:lncRNA from 1 species